CACCCAUGUCUUUUGCGCACUUGUUGUUUCCUGGGCGGGUUCGCCCGCCACCAGGACCAAACCAUAAACCUUUUUUUUUUAUGCAGUUACCAUCAGCGUCAGUAAAAACAAUGUAAUUAUUACAACUUUCAACAACGGAUCUCUUGGUUCUGGCAUCGAUGAAGAACGCAGCGAAAUGCGAUACGUAGUGUGAAUUGCAAAAUUCAGUGAAUCAUCGAAUCUUUGAACGCACAUUGCGCCCUUUGGUAUUCCAAAGGGCAUGCCUGUUCGAGCGUCAUUUGUACCUUCAAGCUUUGCUUGGUGUUGGGCGUUUUUGUCUCUCUUUCUGCGAGACUCGCCUUAAAACGAUUGGCAGCCGGCCUACUGGUUUCGGAGCGCAGCACAUAUUUUGCACUUUGGAUCAGGAGAAAAGGACGGUAAUCCAUCAAGACUCUACAUUUUUAACUUUUGACCUCGGAUCAGGUA
rnacentral:rRNA from 1 species